UGCGUAGGAGGAGGAGCAUAUAUAUCCUCGUGCUGUGCCGUCCACGCCAUUGGCCGGCCCGCCCCCGAGAACAGCUAGCUGAACUGAAGGCCGCCCGCCGUCCUCUUUUAGUUUAGCUAGCCUGCAAGCUUGCUACCUUACCGGCCCCGUCCAAUCCAAAGCUCCACUGCACCCGCCCGUCACGAAUUUCCUGCAAAGUGGUUUCCUUUCCUUUUUUUCUCGUCUGAAAGAGAAACCGGCAGGCCGGAAGGUCGGUAAUGGUACGGUGGUUUCUUCCGGCACCGCUAGUCGUCGCCGUGUUGGUUUUGGACGUACAAAUGAUAGCGUUGGCUUUUGGUGUAUGGCCGGCCGGCGCCGUAGCCGCCGCGCAGCCUUACCUGCUGAGGACCUGUUGUCUCUGGUAGCCUAGAUUUGUUGUUCAUUAGUGGUAUACUGGUAUGCCAGCGCUCUGAAAGCCCUGCCUUUUGGUUUCAUGCUUAAUGUUUCUGCUCUGCUCUCUCUCUCCCUCUCCCUCUCCCUCUCCCUCUAUACCUGACAUUGCCUGCCAACAUCAAAGUGGGACUGUGCUACCUCCUGAACAGUCAGAUAUCUUGCUUUGUUUGGAGGCCUAACUCCGUACACUGCCUGCCUUCCUGAAAACACAGCCUCCUGACCUCCUCCUCCUAACAAAAAAAAAAUCGUUCUCUGAAACCACUAGAAACAUCCGUUAGCCUCAAGCUGAAGGACAGAGUACGCGUUAAGGCAAGACGGGGCGAAAUGACGCCUGAACUAGGCCAACCACAAUUGAUGCUCGCAAUUAGACUGCCGUCGCUUCAGGACAGCCAACGGAGUAACCGCGCGCGGCCGCUUUAUUUGUCUGCUCCCCGCGGCCAAGUCUGCGACGCCACGAGCCAUGUGGGAUGCCUGGCCACGACCACGAGCGUGGUCCCGCGUCCCCUUUCCUCUCCGUCUCCGACGGGGUCGGCAUCCACGCUGCUUGAAUGCUGAUGAAGUGCCUGUUUGCCAUUCCCUUUGCCAGAGGCCAAACUGAAACGGAAACCACGGAGGCGGAGGAGGAGGAGAUGCCUAGCCCACCACGUGGGCGGAUAAUGCCGGGGCCCACCUGUGCCCAACUAUAAAAUCUUUGGCGGGGGGCGGCUGCGGCUCGACGCUUUCUCGCGCAUGACGUGGCCUGGAACGCAAAGAUCUCCGUCCCUGUCGCGUCCUCUUCCGAGUCACUGGAUCUUCCCUAGGCUCCGAACUAGGGCCGCGGCAGGGCCAGGCGAAAACCGAAUUUUAUCGGCGCGUCGUAUGCGCUUGGAGUAUAACCAGGCAUGAUGGAUGAAUGGAGCUAAAUGUUCAUGAGAAAGUGUUAAUAAAAGUAAAUAAUAACUAGAGAUUGAUUUUAAAAGAUGUCUUUGUACACCCUUUCUCUGAUAGUACUUAUAUCUAUAACUCUUUGUAACUGUUUCCUUGGGUGGAUUGGUACUUUGGAAGCGCAAAUCCGGACCUCGCCCCCACUCUCACUUUCCCUCUGUAUUUGGGCGGCAUCUUCAACUUAGUCUUCGAUCUCCUCGGCUCCUUACCUCCUUCUGGCUGGACCGGUGGUGUUCCUAUAUUUGAGAUCUCUCUCUCUCUCUCUCUCUCUCUCUCUCUCUUCUCUCACUCUACUCAGCCUAACCUCUUGGUAUAUGGAGUGAGUUUUCGACCAUAGUCUUGAUUGGCGUCUUCGCCCUCGCUUCACUAACGUGACCUUCGCAGAGCUUGCUCUUCUGCCACAGGUUCGCCUUUCGGGCUGCAAUGACGACAGAAGGAUGCUUCACUCGGGGAGGCUCCUCUCCUCAAAAGGCUUCUAUGAACACAUGUGCGGAGGAGCUUCGCCUAAUCACUCGUCGUUGUCGGAUAUCUGCUGGGUUUCAAAACUCCCAAGCAAAUUAAAGAUUUUUUUUUGUGGCUUCUUUUCAAGAACAGGCUUAACACCCGGAAGAACCUGCGCAGGAAGAAUAUCCUGCCUGAUGGGAAGUGUUCACGCUGUGGCGGUAAUGUGGAAGACAGGUUGCACGUCUUCGUUUCUUGUUCCAGGGCCAGCAUCUCCUGGAGAUUGGCGGGCUUUAGGAUUAAUGGCGUUGAAGGAUUCCCCCUCUUUCCUCCUAUCAUCCCUCAUGACGCCAUCUUUAGAAUAUCCUUGGCACUAUUCUCUAGAGGCUGUGGGAGAAUAGGAACAAUCUCAUCUUCGAAAAUGAGGAACCCCGUGUACGUGUGAUCCUAGCUAGGGUUGUCAAUGAUCUUUCUAUAUGGCGCCACCGUUUCUCUGCUCUUGCCAAAGGUUUUAUUAGUCGCUGGUGCGCACAUGUAAACUCUGAAAACCUUGUACCUCGCUUAAGCAUUCUUCUCGAAUGCGUCUUUUAUUCUAUAAAUGACAGGUUUCAUUGCAAAUU